GCUCUUAUGGGAGGGGUCAAACACAGUGCGGAUGUACAAGAAAACAGCUCCUACCUCCGGGGAUGCUUGUUGGAAGGGAUAAGUCUGAAUAAGUAAUAAUAAGUUGGGGUCUGAAUCCACUGCAGGAAGAAGGUAACAUUUGAAAAGAUGGAGGUAGGAUUCUGACAGUCAGGAGGGUGAUUUGGCAUCUCCGGACUGAGGCCUGGGAUGCUGGCAAGCUCAGGGAGGGAUAAGGGUGUCCUGGAGGAUGAGUUUGGAGAAGCAGAUGGCAGUCACCAUUUGGUGCUUGGGAUUCAAGCAGAUCAAAGGGUAUUCAGGGCAGUGACCAGUUUCUGCAGUCUUCUGAGUGGAGCCUCUCCGGUGCAUGCAAAGCUCUCCGUGUGGUGGGGAGACGAUCUUUCUGAGGAGAUGACGGCAGAUCAGACAGGGCUAAGCACUGUACCUAUGGACCUCAGAGACUUGGAGCCAGCUUCUCUCACCACUUGGACCAUUCUUCCUCAAUAUGGCUACACAUGCUGAUGAAUAAACAAACCUGCUCCUACAA